UACGUAGGGUGCGAGCGUUGUCCGGAAUUAUUGGGCGUAAAGAGCUCGUAGGCGGCUUGUCGCGUCGGAUGUGAAAGCCCGGGGCUUAACUCCGGGUCUGCAUUCGAUACGGGCAGGCUAGAGUUCGGUAGGGGAGAUCGGAAUUCCUGGUGUAGCGGUGAAAUGCGCAGAUAUCGGAAGGAACACCAGUGGCGAAAGCGGCUUCCUGGUCCGACACCGACGUUCAGGCACGAAAGCGUGGGGAGCAAACAGG
rnacentral:rRNA from 1 species